CUGUUGCUGCUGCUGCUCCUCCUGCUGCUGCUGCUGCUGCUGCUGUAGCAGUGCCAAAUGUUGUUGCUGCUGCUGCUGCAAGUGCUGAUGUUGCUGCUGCUGCUGUAUCAUAAACUCGUGCUGUAUGCGCUCCUGAAGCAGCUGCUGCUGCUCUUCCUCGUGCUGCUGUUGCUGCUGCUGCAACUG
rnacentral:sRNA from 1 species